rnacentral:sRNA from 1 species
AGGCCUCCUAAUCAGGGGCAGACAGGCAGGGAGGGUGCGGCUGGGCUGAGAUGGGCGGGGCGGCCUGGGGCAGGGGUGUAGCCCCUAAGUGUCCCCAACCUCAGAGGGACCUACAGUCCUGAGCCUCCAGUAGCUUCUCUGGGCCUGGCAGAGCCUCCCAGCAUGGUGCUCAAGGUCUUCUUCCCCACGUGCUGUGUCUCGGCAGUCAGCGGGCUGCUGGUGGGACGGUGGGUCCCAGAGCAGAGCAGCGCCGUGGUCCUGGCGGUCCUGCACUUUCCCUUCAUCCCCAUCCAGGUCAAGCAGCUCCUGGCCCAGGUUCGGCAGGCCAGCCAGGUGGGCGUGGCCGUGCUGGGCACCUGGUGCCACUGCCGGCAGGAGCCCGAGGAGAGCCUGGGCCGCUUCCUGGAGGCCCUGGGUGCCGUCUUCCCCCAUGAGCCCUGGCUGCGGCUGUGCCGGGAGAGAGGCGGCGCGUUCUGGAGCUGCGAGGUCACCCGCCGGCAAGCGCCCACUGCCCCCGGUGCCCCCGGUGAGGACCAGGUCAUGCUCAUCUUCUACGACCAGCGCCAGGUGUUGCUGUCACAGCUACACCCGCCCACCGUCCUGCCCGACCGCCAGGCUGGAGCCACCACUGCCAGCACGGGGGGCCUGGCUGCUGUCUUCGACACGGUAGCACGCAGCGAGGUGCUCUUCCGCAGCGACCGCUUCGAUGAGGGCCCCGUGCGGCUGAGCCACUGGCAGUCGGAGGGCGUGGAGGCCAGCAUCCUCGCGGAGCUGGCCAAGCGAGCCUCGGGACCCGUUUGCCUGCUGUUGGCCAGCCUGCUAUCGCUGGUCUCAGCUGUCAGUGCCUGCCGAGUGUUCAAGCUCUGGCCCCUGUCCUUCCUCGGGAGCAAGCUCUCCACGUGCGAACAGCUCCGGC